rnacentral:rRNA from 1 species
UACGAAGGGGGCUAGCGUUGUUCGGAAUUACUGGGCGUAAAGCGCACGUAGGCGGAUAUUUAAGUCAGGGGUGAAAUCCCAGAGCUCAACUCUGGAACUGCCUUUGAUACUGGGUAUCUUGAGUAUGGAAGAGGUAAGUGGAAUUGCGAGUGUAGAGGUGAAAUUCGUAGAUAUUCGCAGGAACACCAGUGGCGAAGGCGGCUUACUGGUCCAUAACUGACGCUGAGGUGCGAAAGCGU